rnacentral:rRNA from 1 species
ACGGGAGGCAGCAGUGGGGAAUAUUGGGCAAUGGGCGAAAGCCUGACCCAGCAACGCCGCGUGAAGGAAGAUGGUCUUCGGAUUGUAAACUUCUUUUAUGAGGGACGAAGGACGUGACGGUACCUCAUGAAUAAGCCACGGCUAACUACGUGCCAGCAGCCGCGGUAAUACGUAGGUGGCAAGCGUUAUCCGGAUUUACUGGGUGUAAAGGGCGCGUAGGCGGGGAUGCAAGUCAGAUGUGAAAUCUAUGGGCUUAACUCAUAAACCGCAUUUGAAACUGUAUCUCUUGAGUGCUGGAGAGGUAGAUGGAAUUCCUUGUGUAGCGGUGAAAUGCGCAGAUAUAAGGAAGAACACCAGUGGCGAAGGCGAUCUACUGGACAGUAACUGACGCUGAGGCGCGAGAGCGUGGGGAGCAAACAGGAUUAGAUACCCUGGUA